ACUCACUGUGUCAUCAUGAUCACACAUGACCACGAUCACAUCCGUCUGCCUCGACUUGACACCAACCAGUUGGUUUCCUCUGUGCGCAUGCGUUUUCUGCAAGUGAGAAGAUUUUUCUGCGCCCAUGUGAAACCGAAGCCUCAUUAAGCACCGAGCACGUUAAUGAUUCGAUCAGGCAUCUGGACUUUCCUGCGUGUUGCAGCCUCCACAGGCGCUCAGGCGGAAGGCCUUGGAGCGGUGCGUCCACCAGAGGGCAGUGCUGCUCCACGAAAACACGCUGCGUCCUGCGGCUGGAGAACAUGCGAGGACGACGGUGACCUGCUCAGCCCGUGAACGCAAACAGAAUGUGCUGCAGGCUCCGCCAGCGGUUUACGCAUCUCACUUCUGUAUAUCACUAAACAGACUUGUUUAAUAGCAGCUGUUAAAAUAAUUGAAAACUGCGCAACGCAAGGCGCUUUUGAAAAAAAGUUUGUCACAUUACUGAGUUGACUGUUUAUGCGGUGUCUGCUACUGUAUGUGAGUCAUGCUUCUUCUCACAGCAGAUGUGUCAAAUUAAAUAACAAAGUUUCGUG